AAGCAAUGGGUUUCGGUGAUUAUCCUAAAGAAUACAAUCCAGCAGUCCACGGGCCAUACGAUCCAGCUCGUUAUUAUGGAAAACGUAAGUAUUGAACUUCAUGUA
rfam:Danaus plexippus plexippus isolate F-2 unplaced genomic scaffold DPSCF300026, whole genome shotgun sequence.